UCCUGCUUCUCUCAUGACAGAUUCUG
rnacentral:snRNA from 1 species